rnacentral:rRNA from 1 species
UGCGGAAGGAUCAUUACCGAGUGAGGGCCCUCUGGGUCCAACCUCCCACCCGUGUUUAUUUUACCUUGUUGCUUCGGCGGGCCCGCCUUAACUGGCCGCCGGGGGGCUUACGCCCCCGGGCCCGCGCCCGCCGAAGACACCCUCGAACUCUGUCUGAAGAUUGUAGUCUGAGUGAAAAUAUAAAUUAUUUAAAACUUUCAACAACGGAUCUCUUGGUUCCGGCAUCGAUGAAGAACGCAGCGAAAUGCGAUACGUAAUGUGAAUUGCAAAUUCAGUGAAUCAUCGAGUCUUUGAACGCACAUUGCGCCCCCUGGUAUUCCGGGGGGCAUGCCUGUCCGAGCGUCAUUUCUGCCCUCAAGCACGGCUUGUGUGUUGGGCCCCGUCCUCCGAUCCCGGGGGACGGGCCCGAAAGGCAGCGGCGGCACCGCGUCCGGUCCUCGAGCGUAUGGGGCUUUGUCACCCGCUCUGUAGGCCCGGCCGGCGCUUGCCGAUCAACCCAAAUUUUUAUCCAGGUUGACCUCGGAUCAGGUAGGGAUACCCGCUGAACUUAAGCAUAUCA